CUGGCGGGGACACUUUUCUCCUGAAGGCGUUAUGGAGAACAGAAGAACAGCAUACACAACAGGAAACAUAAGUAGAACAAAGAAAGCACCACAAGAGAAAUGUGAAAGGAGAAGGCACAGAGAAGAGACAGUGCUGAGAAAGGCUGCGAAAUGUGUGAUCUUUCAGACUAUGAGAUCUCCCAUGAGGAAAGAUCAAAGAACAGCAACUAGAAGAUCUGCAGAAAGAAAUUUGAACAGCUAAAAUUAUCCCUCCUUCCCCAAGACUACGAUUUCU
rnacentral:lncRNA from 1 species